rnacentral:lncRNA from 10 species
GCCUCUUAAAGAAAUCCUAAUAAAUUCCAGAAUUUCUAGUCUUCUGGCAAGCUUUCCAUUUAGAACAAAAUCAAUGAUCAAUGGCUGCAACGAGCCAGCAUUAGGCUUGCAUGCCUCUGGAGCAGGGAAAACUCAUAGACGAAAGAUGACAUUUAAGGAAAAAAAGCUGACAUUGAGUCCAUCACUGUCAUCGCUUCUGCCAUAAAGCAGCUUCAAAUAUUAAAACAUUUUUCAUCUGUGCUGCAUUAUUGGCACCAGAAAUUGUUUUCUCUCUGUCUGGUGCGCACUUGAACUGCAGCAGCGCUCCCCGGAGACUCCGGAUUGUUACUAAGGCCUCAUAACAUAUUGGCAGUUGACGUGGUGGUGUUCAUGUACACUUGCCACUCACACGGAGCCUCCCCUCCCCCGGCCUGCACGCCAAGCCGGCUGCAAGGGGACCUGGGCUCUGUGGCUCAAAUGCGGGGGACAGCGGGUAGGCACAUGCAUGCUCUGUGAUUUCUUUUUUGCAGUCUGCCUUUCCCUGGCCACGACCCCAUCCUUGCCCCUGUCUGAUGUCCAAGCUGCCCCUGCUGAGACAGACCUGGCCUCUUCUGGACAGCUCCAGUCACAUAAGGACUCCAUAGCUUGUGUGGGCUCAGAGCACUUUGGCUGCAGAGAGGAAAGUCUUUACCACUGGGCAGGACUCACUAGUUCGUGAUGAAGAUGGUGACACGCCCACCUGGAGAGAUGUACACGGUUUCCUUGGAGGAAGCCCACGGCCUGGAGUGAAUCACUCAAGCAGAGUGUUCGCUGGGUGACUGGUGUCCCAUGAGGGCACCAGGCGGAUCACAUUGAAUAUAAAAGAUGCUCCUUGGGGGCCCUCUUAGCUCUUGCCACAUGGAACCCUGAGAAGGGCAGGGCACCUUGGGCUGGAAGGAAGAUGCUGUCAGGGCGUGCACUUGUAGAAGAGGAGAGGCGCCACCAGGCAAUUCCUGGGAUUGCAUGGUUUGCUGAGAGAAUUGGGGCCGGGGACCUCGGGAGCCGUCACGCUUGUGUGGUCCUAGACAUUCUCAAUCACUCCCACCCUCGCCCUAAAACUUAGUCGGGAUGCCCUUUUCUCUCUACGUGGGGACCCUGCUCUAGGGAAGAAGCUGUAGGGGGCUGGUGUGGCCGGGCUGUUUCUGCCUGUCUGCAUCUUACAUUUUACUUCUGGCAGGCACUUUUCCCAGGGACUGGAACUUCAGCCUCACUCCCUAAAUUCUCAAUUCUCCCAGAAUCCCCAGCAACCAACCAAGGGGAGCUCCAGGGGCUGAGGGUCAGUGAGGCACAAAUGGCAGGUGGAUGGCAGGAUUCCUGGGUGUCCCAACCCACACCGCACCCAUGUGGCCCUUGGGUCUCAGCACCUGCAUACCCUGGCCAGCGUGGGGCCAGUGUGGGACCAGCAUGGGGCCAGUGGGAACACAGCAGCAGGCCCAGUGCUUACUCCAACCUCAGGACUGGGCCUGGGGAGUGGCAGGUUGGACUCCUCCAGGAGGCACAGCACCUAGAACCCAUGGUGCUUUCAGGGCAUUGAAUAAAAAAUGUUUUCAUCCAAUUAAAACAGGAAGAGGCCAGGCCCAAAGGCCUGUAAUCUCAGCAUUCUGAGAGGCCAAGACAGGAGGAUUGCUUGAGGCCAGGAGCUCAAGAUCAGCCUGGGCAAUAUAGGGAGACCUCAUCUUUACCAAUAAAUAAAUAAAUAAAUAAAAUGGGAAGAAAAAAAUAAAUUUUUAGAAUCAAAGAUGUGGUUUGUCAUUACAUCCAUGUGGUUGUAAAAUACAAGUUUGAGUUUUUGUUUUUCGGAGGAGGAAGAGGCUCACAAAGACUAAAGUGCUUAGGGCCUUGUAAGAGGGGGCACAUGGCCAGGGCUCAGUGGUUGGGGUAGGGGUCUCUGGAGCCUGGAGGUGGCCUCAGAGCUAAGGGACAGGUGCCCCCAUGAAACACCCCAAG